CCGGCGACCGGCGGACGGGUGCGUAACGCGUAUGUAACCUACCUUUGACAGGGGGAUAACAUCGAGAAAUUGGUACUAAUACCCCAUAACAUCACCGGAGGCAUCUUCGGUGGUUGAAAACUCAGGUGGUCAGAGAUGGACAUGCGUUGUAUUAGCUAGUUGGUGAGGUAACGGCUCACCAAGGCGACGAUACAUAGGGGGACUGAGAGGUUAACCCCCCACAUUGGUACUGAGACACGGACCAAACUCCUACGGAAGGCAGCAG
rnacentral:rRNA from 1 species